UAUCCAUCCGGACUCAUUUUCCAACGAUCCAAAUGAGUGCUUGAGCUAUUCUCACUCAGAGUCACAGUCCCUCCCUCCGAAAAUCCUAAAACCCCGGAAAACCCAAACCCCCCAAAAUCAGCAACCUAAACCUAAUCAAUCGCCUAUGUCGAAGGAACCAUCCACGACCUUCAAACCCUACACCCUCUGCGAAACCUUAACGGGCCACAAGAGCGCCAUCUCCGGUGUCAAAUUCUCCUCCGACGGCCGCCUCCUCGGUUCCGCUUCCGCCGACAAGACCAUCCGCACCUACUCCCUUUCCUUCCCCGAUGACUCCUCCACUCCCACCAUCUCCGCCGCCCAGACCUUCGAAGGCCACUCCCAGGGCGUCUCCGAUCUCGCCUUCUCGGCCGACUCUCGCUUAAUGGUCUCCGCCUCCGACGACAAGACCCUCCGCCUCUGGGACGUCGCCACCGGCCAAACCAUCAAGACCCUCCAUGGCCACACCAACUACGUCUUCUGCGCCAACUUCAACCCUCAGUCCAAUAUGAUCGUCUCCGGUUCCUUCGACGAAACGGUGCGUAUUUGGGAUGUCAAGACCGGGAAAUGCUUGAAGGUUUUGCCGGCUCACUCCGACCCUGUCACCGCCGUUGAUUUCAAUCGGGAUGGCUCGGUUAUCGUUUCGAGCAGCUACGAUGGGUUGUGCAGGACCUGGGAUGCCUCCACUGGCCACUGCACCAAGACAUUGAUUGACGAUGAGAAUCCUCCGGUUUCGUUUGUUAAGUUUGCGCCUAAUGGAAAGUACAUUCUUGUUGGCACCUUGGAUGACACUCUGAGGCUCUGGAACUUUUCAACUGGGAAAUGUUUAAAGACUUACACCGGUCACAAGAGCUCGAGAUUCUGCAUUUCUUCCGCAUUUUCUGUGACAAAUGGGAUAUACAUUGUAAGUGGUUCUGAAGAUAAUUGUUUGUACUUGUGGGAAUUGCAAAGCAGGAAGGUAGUUCAGAAAUUGGAAGGUCACACUGACACUGUUAUAUCAGUAUCAUGUCACCCAACUAAGAACAUAAUUGCUUCUGGUGCACUUGGCAAUGACAAGACGGUGAAGAUCUGGACUCAGGAGAACUGAUUCAUUUCUGUUGUUGUAAAUGAUUGCAUCUGUGGCACAGAGGUUUUGACUUGAGGAGGGAGACUGAUUUGUUGCAUUACAAAGGCUGGGAGAAAUUGUGAAGCAGAGUAUAUACUCGCUGUGGUAAACAGAGGUCAAAGUUUGGUCCAGACUCCAGUUGUGAGAUGUGCAGGGUGUGCUGAAUCUGAAAACCGUUGUGGUCUGCUUGGUGCUCGUGGACAGACAGAGAUGUGUGGUAUGAAAGUACAUGUUGGUUUCUCAAUGCAGGUUUGUGAGCUUUUCUCCGAACUCUGAAAAUGCCUCCGUCAUCUUUAAUGGUCUAAUUUAUAUGUUCUUUAGUGUUGCAUGUUAGCGCAUGUUAAAUAUUGUACAGUAGUUCUCGGUUAAUAGAUGUCUGUUUGAAUGCUAUGUGGUGAACAACAUUGAAUCGAUUGAUUAGCUUGAUGCAAGUCCUGAAUGUCUUGAGCAGCAUCAACAUGGUUCCUUCCGAUUCGUUGAUCUUCAUUUUUGUCAUGAUAAUGGUGGAAGAUUUAACGCAUUGUCACCGACAGGGUUUCUGCUAUAGUUCUGCAUUGUCUCUAUAAUCAUGCAGGGUCCAAGGACCUGAGGGAUAUAGUAAUGUCUUUAAAAUGCGAUCCUUUCUGUUGAUCUUCUAACUCACCGGCCAUUUUGUUUUUUCCAACACUUUUUUUUGUGUUUUCGUUGACAUUUCUUUCUUAACGGAGCUCUGUACCAGAAGCCAAAAUGGAAAAGUGCAGAAAGGAAGUGGGUUAAGUAAGCAUAUUGUUCAGCUACUUGUUCCCAAAAACAUCAACAGAUUAAACUAUGUGAAUUUAUGAAACGAUCCUCCGAACGUGCCUAUGCAUCUUCAGUAUAUGGGUGAUACACACAUACAAGGACAAGGUGGUCCCAAAGAUCCUCUGGAGGCCCGAAACACCUAUGGAGGGACGUUCUUUAGGGACCCUCCAAAUGUUUCGACGGAGGGUCCGACCUACGUCUAGGGUUAUGUAUGGGUUACGUCCAACACUUUGUUUAUUUUGUUAGACGAUAUAUAGUUGGUCUAAUCAAAAUUCUGGUGCAUGAUGCAUCCAUGGAGGAGACGUGAGGUUACAUAAGCUUUUCCGCAAGGAAGAAGACCUCGUUGUUUCUUACUUCAUUUUACUAAUAUUAAAUGGAAUGGACCGCUUCACAUAA